AAUGAACGUUGGCGGCGUGGAUUAGGCAUGCAAGUCGUGCGCGAAUCGUAGCAAUACGAGGAGAGCGGCGAAAGGGAGAGGAUAGCAUAGAUACCUACCCCCGGACCUGGGAUAGCUAUGGGAAACUAUAGGUAAUACCAGAUAAUGUCUCCGGACCAAAGGUGUGACUCCGUCCGAGGAGGGGUCUAUGUCCUAUUGGCUUGUUGGUGAGGUAACGGCUCACCAAGGCAAAGAUGGGUACGAGGCGUGGGAGCGUGUCCUCGCUCACUGGGACUGAGACACUGCCCAGACACCUACGGGUGGCUGCAGUCGAGAAUCUUCGGCAAUGGGCGCAAGCCUGACCGAGCGACGCCGCGUGUGGGAUGAAGGCCUUCGGGUUGUAAACCACUGUCAGUGCGGAGGAAAUAUAGAGGGGUACUCCCCUUUAUUUGACCUAUGCGCAGAGGAAGGACGGGCUAAGUUCGUGCCAGCCGCCGCCGUAAGAC
rnacentral:rRNA from 1 species